GAUGAACGCUGGCGGCGUGCUUAACACAUGCAAGUCGAACGAAGCGCUUGAAUGAAAUUCUUCGGAAGGAAGCUCAAGUGACUGAGUGGCGGACGGGUGAGUAACGCGUGGGUAACCUGCCUCAUACAGGGGGAUAACAGUUAGAAAUGACUGCUAAUACCGCAUAAGCACACGUGAUCGCAUGAUCGAGUGUAGAAAAACUCCGGUGUAUGAGAUGGACCCGCGUCUGAUUAGCUAGUUGGU
rnacentral:rRNA from 1 species